rnacentral:rRNA from 1 species
ACAGAGGAGGCAAGCGUUGUUCGGAAUCACUGGGCUUAAAGCGCGUGUAGGCGGCUUAGAAAGUGUCGUGUGAAAUCCCGCGGCUCAACCGUGGAACUGCACGGGAAACUACUUGGCUAGAGGACGGUAGAGGUGCCUGGAACGCGUGAUGUAGCGGUGAAAUGCAUAGAUAUGUCAAAGAACGCCAAAAGCGAAAGCAGUGCACCGAGCUGUAUCUGACGCUGAGCCGCGAAAGCGUGGGGAUCAAACAG